rnacentral:rRNA from 1 species
AGCGAACGCUGGCGGCAGGCCUAACACACGCAAGUCGAACGAAGUCUUCGGACUUAGUGGCGGACGGGUGAGUAACACGUGGGAACGUGCCUUUAGGUUCGGAAUAACUCAGGGAAACUUGUGCUAAUACCGAAUGUGCCCUUCGGGGGCAAGAUUUAUCGCCUUUAGAGCGGCCCGCGUCUGAUUAGCUAGUUGGUGGGGUAAUGGCCCACCAAGGCUACGAUCAGUAGCUGGUCUGAGAGGAUGACCAGCCACAUUGGGACUGAGACACGGCCCAAACUCCUACGGGAGGCAGCAGUGGGGAAUCUUGCGCAAUGGGCGAAAGCCUGACGCAGCCAUGCCGCGUGGAUGAUGAAGGUCUUAGGAUUGUAAAAUCCUUUCACCGGUGAAGAUAAUGACUGUAGCCGGAGAAGAAGCCCCGGCUAACUUCGUGCCAGCCGCCGCAGUAAAAC